rnacentral:rRNA from 1 species
ACGAACGCUGGCGGCGUGCUUAACACAUGCAAGUCGCACGGAAAGGCCCUGCUUUUGUGGGGUGCUCGAGUGGCGAACGGGUGAGUAACACGUGAGUAACCUGCCCUUGACUUUGGGAUAACUUCAGGAAACUGGGGCUAAUACCGGAUAGGAGCUCCUGCUGCAUGGUGGGGGUUGGAAAGUUUCGGCGGUUGGGGAUGGACUCGCGGCUUAUCAGCUUGUUGGUGGGGUAGUGGCUUACCAAGGCUUUGACGGGUAACCGGCCUGAGAGGGUGACCGGCCACAUUGGGACUGAGAUACGGCCCAGACUCCUACGGGAGGCAGCAGUGGGGAAUAUUGCACAAUGGGCGGAAGCCUGAUGCAGCAACGCCGCGUGCGGGAUGACGGCCUUCGGGUUGUAAACCGCUUUCGCCUGUGACGAAGCGUGAGUGACGGUAAUGGGUAAAGAAGCACCGGCUAACUACGUG